rnacentral:rRNA from 1 species
CACACACUCUUCAAGUAAGUUGGAUUGACUUGGUGUAAUAAUUUAAUCAUCACAUCAAGGAAAGUAGUCAAAUACUUGCCAUCUUUUGAAAGGGGAGAGAGAGGGACUUCUAAAACCCCAUUAAAUAUUUUAAGACCUCAAAUCAGGUGGGACUACCC